rnacentral:lncRNA from 1 species
AGGAUUUGCAGCAAUUUGCAUUGCAACCUUACCGUCAUUAUGUAUCUGAACUGGUAGCUUGAUCUUGACUCCUAUUUCAUUGAAUAGUCCCAGAAUCCAAGUCAAGUAGUUGUAGAUGUCAAACUUCUGUAUUCAGCUUCAACUGAACUCCUAGAGACUGCACUUUGUUUCUUGAAUUUCCAUCAUAUCAAAGAAUCACCCAUUUUAAUCAAGAAGCCUGUUACAGAUUUCCUAGAGUUUGGGCAUGCUGCACAAUCAACAUCACAGUAAGUUGAGAUCUGUUCUUGGCUGCUGCUUGAUAGAAGUACUCCUUGUUUAGGUUGUUUUCUGAUAUAUCUGAUUAUCCUGAUAGCUGUUUCUAGUUGAGACUAGAUCUGGUCUGGUUAUGGCAAGGUAUAGUAGCUUUCCAACAAUCCUUUGAUAUAUAGCUACAUUUUUGUUAGAGGAUCAGUCUGUUCCUUUUUGAAUCCUCCACAUGAUCAUAUACUUCCUUGGUAAUACUAGUCAGCUUUACAUUCUGUUCAAGUGGUGUAGCUAUUGGCUUUGCAACACUCAAUCCUAGUUCAGAAAUCAACUGAUCCUAUGCAUACUUUCUUUGAUGCAUUAUUAUUCCCGAUUUUGAUCUGGCAAAUUCAAUUCCUAGAAAGUAUCUUAGUUCUCCUAGCUAAGUCUUUCAUCUUGAAGGCUUGUUGUAGUGCAGUCUUGGGUUCCUUGAUCAAUUGAAGACUGCUCCUAGUAAUGAGCAUGUCAUCAACAUAAAUUAGAAUGACAAAUAACUCGUUUCCAGUUUUCUUUAAGAGUAGUGAGUGAUCAUACCGACUUUGACUGAAUUCAAGUUGCAGAAUUACUUCUAAUAACUUUGUGUUCCACUGUCUUGGUACCUGCUUCAGUCCAUACAAGGAUUUAAGAUGUGUACAAACUGGUCUAGACUCCCCCUGAUUCUUAAAUCCUUAAGGUAGGUACAUAUAGAUCUCAUCAUUUAAAUCUCCUUGAAGGGAAACAUUGUACACAUCCAUUUGAUAGAUAUGCCAAUGUUUGAUAGAAGAAAUAGCCAAGAUAGACCUCAUUGUAACCAUCUUAACUACCGGUGAAAAUGUCUCAUGAUAAUCAAUUUCUUCCUGCUGGUUAUACCCUUUCGCUAUUAUUCUAGCCUUGAACCAUUCAAUCUCACAUGUAUUCUUGUACGUUAUCUUGAAGACCCAUUUGCAGCCAAUUGGUUUCUCACCAUUGGAUAAAGGAGCCACUGUCCUAGACUCCUAGUCUUAUUACUUUCUAAAGCAGUGAUUUCUGCCUUCAUGGCCUCCACCCACCCAGGGUCUGAAAUAGCCUCAGUUUAUGAAGAAGGUUCUACUUUAGUUGAACUAGCAGCAAUAAAAGGUUGGUAGUUAGAAGGCAGGUGAUUAUAGCUCAUAUAACUUGCUAAACCAUGAGUCACACCAGGCUUUGAUCUCUGAGUUGUGACAAAGUCUUUUAGCCAUAUAGGUGCAACGUUAGUUCUAGGAAGACUAUCUUUGUUGUCCUUCUGAUGUGUUGCUAGAUUUAGGUUGAGACAUUUCUUCUAAAGAAGAUACAAUAGAUUGACUAUCAGGUACUACAAAAUCUUGAACAUCAAGAUUCUGAGGUAGACUUGCCUUUCUAAUAACAUCAGUAUGUAAGAGCAACUAGUCAGUAAAAACAUCAAGAAAUGGAGCUUGAUGACCUUUCUGGAGUGUUUUGAAAGGAAAUAUGGACUUCCUGAAUUCAACAUCUUUGUUUACAAAAAACAUACAAUUAGUAAACUCAUACAAGAGAGCCCGACACCAAAACGGACUAUUUUUGAACCUUAAAAAUCAAAAGGGAUAUUCUCUAAAAAUACACAUCAAAACGGACAGUUCACCCAUUUAUGAGCGAAGUAUAACUAUCAUCCCUGUCAACUCUAAAUCCAUCUAUAGUAAUAUUACACAAACUUUAAAGGUAGUUUGUCCAUACAUGGGUGAACUACGAUUCUUUUUAUUAACUCCCCACGUGAAUCUAUAUCUCUUUCUUUCUCACAUGAAGCUAUAUCUCUUUCUUCAUCAAUAAAUAUGCGUUAUAUACUCCAUAUUUUCUCAUUCAUCUUCUACUUUUUUUUAUACUUUAUAUUUUGAAAUUUGAUAGUCAUGUCUCAACAAUUUGAAAAGUUUGUAUAUUCAAUUGAACCAGAUGUUUGUAAAUGCAAAGAGUAUUAUAAAAUGAAAACGUCGAGGACUCCAAGAAAUCCUAGUUGUAAGUUUUGGAAUUGUGCGCAUUCAAAGAUGAAAAAGUUAAGUUGUUGUUCACUUCAAAAUAUUUGGAUAUUCACUUGUUUUCUUGUUUUGUUAUUUCAGGAAAAUGAUGGAUGCAAUUAUUUUCAGUGGGCAGAAAACAUGCUCAUAGAAGAAGAAAUGUAGAUGUUCUACCUUAUCUUAGUUGAUUCAAUUUGUUUUUAAACUAUUAGAGUACGCCUGCAAUUGAACGAACCAUAAUAUUUUU